rnacentral:lncRNA from 1 species
AAAUAAAUAAAGUAAAGCGAGUGCGAAAAAUAAAUAAAGUAAAGCGAAUGCGGAAAAUAAAUAAAGUAAAGUGAGUGCGGGAAAUAAAUAAAGUAAAGCGAGUGCGGAAAAUAAAUAAAGUAAAGCGAGUGCGGAAAAUAAAUAAAAUAAAAGCGUAGACAGAAAGUAAAUAAAAUAAAAGUGAUGCGGGAAAUAAAUAAAUAAAGUGAUAA